AAACGUAAACGUUUGAUUUAAAACUCACCUCGGUUACGGUCAAUAUACGAGCCCAAUAUACGUCCUGGAAAGGGAAUUCCUGAUUGUAACGGUUCUGGGAAGCUAUUAGAUUUACUUCAGCACAAAUAACUCUCCAGAAAAGUGAAGUGUUUGAUGUCGGCCUCAAAACUGAAUUCUGAGCUGAAACGCAAAUUCGAUCGAUCACCAAUUAUUUUCGUACGGUACGGUAAUGGACACGAGAGGGCAGCAACUGCAAAUUCGCAAACCCGGAAGUUUAAUGGCUCGGCUCCCCAGUAUUAAAUCUCCGAGCCCAAACUCCCUGUUGAAGAUUUAACAUUUUCUGCAGAUUAUGGAGUAGGAAUGAAGCGUUAUAAGUUUUCAACUACUACCAGAAUGAUCAGAUUUACUGCUAAUGCUAUGCGGAUUAAUUAAAUUUUAUCUGUGGACUGUGCCCUAGCCAGAAUCCAGCUUGCUGUGCAGUGGCAGUGUCUGCGACAGUGCAAACGCAUAGGACGCCAGAGUUUCGGCUGGAGACUUUGAAUUUGAUGAUUCCCGUCUCGACUGCGACUUGGUAGUACUACUACUAGCUCAGGGCCAGGCCUGAAUUUUGGCUGAAAUGACUUUGUCAUGUUCACAACCAUGUUUUUUAAUGUACAUGUACACGGCUACCCGAACAUAGUAUUGUGCUGUUUCAUACAGAUCUGAUCAUCUGAACAGUUAAUGGGUUAUCUACAUCUGAACCAAAUGUUGGAGUACUACUACUAGUAGUAGUAGUACUAGUAAGUAAGUUAGUAUAGUAGUAACAAAGUAAAAACACCUCAGUCCUCAAUUUCUGAUGUUUCGACAGACAUUUUACAUGUGUAUCGCAGCAAGAAUCUGCAUCGCACAGGCGACCUUGAGACACUCCAAAAAAUCCAUCAAUAAACAACAAAUUUUAACAAGGACUUGCCGUUUUCCUCGUGCAGAAGACAUAUUUUCUGUCGCUGCUGGGCGAGAGAUCUACUGCAGGAUGAUGAGUGAUGAGGGGAAGAAUGAAGAAAUUAAUAAAGGGAGCAUUCAGACUGAAAUGAUUCAAGAGGUCUAUGACGUUCCAAUGGAUGUGAUCAUUAGACCAAUUCCACCAUCCUUGGAUGAAGCCAAAGUUGCAUCGCUGAUGGAGACCAUACAGGACCCGAGUCAAGUUCACAAGGUACCUCCUAUAGAUGUCCUCUGGAUCAAGGGUCGUGCCGGUGGGAACUAUUACUACUCGUUUGGUGGAUGCCACAGAUUUGAUGCCUAUAAGAGACUGAAGAUGAAGACUAUACCUUGCAAACUAGUUCGGUCUACUGUUCAUGACCUCAGGAUGUACUUGGGUUCAUCGACCCCUGACCUUCUAUGAUCAACCUAUUUUUAAUUAUUCGAGAUGUAGGGGUCCAUUUGAAUGAUGGGACAGUUUGCUAGUCUGCAGGCACAGACCCUAAUUAAAGCUGUAACUGGUUCCGUGACAUUUGCUCUGGUGGCAAUUGCUCCACUGUAAAUUCCACACAUUAUGGCAUGUCCAACUUAAGCCCUGGAUUUAAUGAUAUUCUCUAUCCUAAACCUAACAUAAAACCCUAUUGCAGCCCUAACCUUAUAUCUUAGACGAAUAAAGUCCGGAGCAAUUGUCGCCCAAGCAAAUGUCGUGUCAUUCUGUAACUAGUCAACAUCAACAACAGGGUCUUGAGUCUUGACUGAAGUCUAGCUAAAAUACACUAUUAGUCUUUGAUCAUUCAAGUCCAAUAGUCUCAAAAUUCAGAUCAUUGUACCAUAUCUUCAACGAAACCAGGGGCCUGUUGCAUAAAACUUUUUACCUGAGAAAACUCUGGUAAAAACUGAAAACUAAGGUUAGUCUGAUUUCUGCUAUUGACUUUAACACAGGGCAAAAACUCUGGUGUUGAUAUAGCACCAGCCCGGAAUCUAUAUAUAUCCACACCAAUACCAGUUUGGAAUCAAACCAAUGCUGUUUUAAUACUAAUUGGUGUUGUAUAAACACCUAUCUGGUGUUAGACCAAAACCAAACUGGUGUUGUUUCACACUUCACUGGAGAUUUUGCAGUGCACUUUCCCUCCCGAGGAGUGAAAGGUUUAGAUAUUGUAGCUGCUAAUGCAUUUGAUAAAUUGAAAUAGCAAUAUCUCAUAGCCGUAUUUUUACCAUCUCUGGUCAAUGGGCAAAUAUUCUUAUUAUGUUCACUAAUAUGAAGUGUAUCAGCAGAAAUGGAGGAAAUUCCACUGAUGCUACCUGUCAGGAUAUCAAUGUUCCUGACAUAAUAUGCAGGGUUAUCAUUGCAGUUCCUUGUAUGUUAAUUAACAUUAAAUUUUAAUGAAAUUUACUUACCUUUCUAUGGAAUAUCAAUAAAAAUUUCAUCAAAUUCAGGUGUAAAAUGAGAAAGUUAUGGCAAUUUGAAGUUUCGCUUAAUUUCACAAAACAGCUAUAUGCACACCCUGGUCGGUAUGCAAAUGAGGAGACUGAUGACAUCAUCCACUCACUAUUUCUUUUGUCAUUUAUUAUAUGAAAUAUUCUAAUUUUCUCAUUAUCAAGUGAAACGACGAGUACUUCCUCCCUGAACAUGUAAAAUUAGCAUUGGUUAAUACUAUGUGGUUCAGUCAGGUUGGUCCUUAUUGCCAAAUCUGUAAAAAAAUGAAUUAGUGUAUAAUUCAAACAAUAAAAAACAAAAAAAAUAGUGAGUGAUGGACAUCAUGGAGUGACUCAUUUGCAUGUCACUGAAUUGCGCAUAUCACUGUUUAGUGAAAAAUAUGCGAAACUUUAAAAUUUCUUAUUUUACAUUCAAUUUUGAUGAAAUUUACAGCAUUAUGCUAGUUUAAUUUUUCUCUACUUAUUAAAAUCAACAUUUUUCUGGGAUGGACUUGACCUUUAAACAAACUGACAGUUCCAUGUUCCUUUGUUAAAUACUGCCCUCUAUGCCUGAAAACUUAGUGAAGAUAUAAACAAGAACAGCUCCAGUUUGUCACUGGUUAUACCCACUUAACUUCAGUGGUUAUACCCGGGGGGGGGGGGCAGUCAAAUAUAUUGCUGUACACACGCGUGACCAAAAAAACGCGUUGAAAGGGGUGUUUUUAAAGACUGGUCAAUUGUCAAUUGCAGGUUCAAAUGUAUUUAGGGUACGUUAUUUUUCCAAAGCUUUUUUUUUAGACUAGCCAAACAUGUUUAGGGUAUGUUUUUUUUCCCUCAAGCUUUUUUCUGGGGUCAUAUUCUGGCGACAACUUGUUUAGGGGCCAAAAUGUGUAAAUAAAGCCCGCGAAAACUUGUUUAGGGGGUUAUUUUGAAAUAAUUUGGCCUCGCGUGUGUACAGCAAUCCCGGGGGGGGGGCCACUUCCAUUGACGAGUGGAUACCAUGCGCGACCAUGUGGUCUCGAAAAGCACCCUAAACACGUAUUUUCCAUAUUCUGAAAAUGCACCCCUUAACAAGUAUUGGCGUCUGAAACCCUACCCUUAACAAGUAUUGGAAACAAAACAAUACUCUUGGCAAGUAUUCCCUGAAAUGAACCCCUAAACAAGUACAGUGAUAUUCUAUUGUUUGUUCUGUCGGUCGUCGGUUUUACCUUUAGUUUACACACCAUUUGGUUUAGUACGGCCCCAGCUUCCACACCUCGCGCUAAUCGGACUCUAAACACGUAGUGUUGGGGCAAAAAGGACAUCCUUUAUAAAACAUUUUAAUUUUGUUUUAUCAUCCCCGCAAAUUUGACCCUAAACACGUAGCUUUCCUAGCGAAAUAGAUACCCUUUUUGCAUUAUUUUUGUGUUUUUGACACCCUUAUCACGUUACGUACGUAACGUGCCCUAUCUUGAAAAAGACAUCCUUUUUACGUGUUUUUCUGGUCGCGCAUGGUAUCCACUCGUCAAUGUAAGUGGCCCCCCCGGGACAGCAUUACAUUUGACUCCCCCCCCCCGGGUUAUACGUGCACAACCUUAAUUUUUCUUUAUUUUUUAAUUUCUUUGCUAUUGAAAAAAAAAAAAUCAAUGUACCUUUGUCAUCACUGAUAACUCAGAUUGAACCUUGAAUUUGAUUGGCUGUUGAGUGAUGUUACCGUGGUUUACCAUCUAUGGCAGAGUUACUAUUCCGUUACAUGCAUGUACAUGUAUUCAGAGCCCAGGUUUGGAACUACAUGUGCACGGAGUAGAAGAAAUUCAAAUCACAGCAUCUAGUAUGUUUGAGUGCCACUGCCUCCGCCUCGGUCCUAGAUUAACAAAUUAAUAUAGACCAUGAUUCACAAAUACAUGUUGUGCCUUAUGAUAUGUUAUAUUCAGUCAGUUUAAAGGGAUGGUCCGGGCUGAAAAUAUAUAUCUAAAUAAAUAGAGUAAAAUUUGCAGGGCAAAAUGCUGAAAAUUUCAUCAAAAUCGGAUAACAAAUAACGAAGUUAUUGAAUUUUAAAGUUUAUAAAUAUUGUGUGAAAACAGUUAUAUGCUCAUCGUCAUGAAUAUUCAUUAGGUGGGCUGAUGAUGUCACAUCCCCACUUUCCUUUUUCUUAUGUUAUUACAUGAAAUCAUAAAUGUUUCAUUUUUUCAUACAUGUGUAAAUGAUGUGUCUCCAUUAUAAAUGAAAUAAGUUGCAGCAAUAGAUAACUAAAGCACUUCAUCAUUUGUCAAUCCAAUUGUUUUAGUUCUUGGUAGAAAAUUUUUGAAUAAACUUAAUUUCAUAUAAUAAAAUACAAAAGAACAAGUGGGGAUAUGACAUCAUCAGCCCACCUAAUACAUAUUCAUAAAGACAUGCCUAGAAUUGAUCACCGGAAUAGUGCAAAUCUUUAAAAUUCAAUAACUUUGUUAUUUGUUAUCCGAUUUUGAUCAAAUUUUUAGCAUUUUGCUCUGUGUAUUUUACUCUAUUUAUUAAGAGAUAUAUAUUUCCAGCCUGGACCAUCCCUUUAACUGGUAAAUUCCACAGACAGAGUUACAAAAAAAACACAAGUCAAAAUAUCAGGCACAACUUGAUUUUCGCCAAACUGGAGUGUGCAUCUAGCACUAGUUGCAUCUGAAUGCAACCCUUUUUUGCAAGAAACUAAUGAUCAUUUGAGUAUUUGCUGUUUCGAACAUUCCAUGUCAAUGGUGUUAAAGGGGAAUCCAGCCUUGGCCAUUAAAUGUUGUGUUUGGAAGGAGAACAAUAAAUUUAACAGAAUGGUGAAAGUUUGAAAGAAAUCGGACAAGCAAUAAGAAAGUUAUAGCCGCUUUAAAAUUGAGAUCACUAAUACUAUGUAGAUUUCAAAUUGGCAACUGAGUAAGUAAAUUAUGACAAUGGGCAAGGACAACUUUCCCAUAGGCCAUGUACUUUAUUAUCAGGGAUUUGUGGUUUUCUCCUAAGUACCCAUUCCCCUGGGGCAGUAAUCUAAAUAUAACCCAGGUAGUAUAUUGUUUUAUGUCCUCAUGAAAGAAAAAUAUAAUUUGAAAUAAAACUUUUGGGGAAAAUGACAUAUUAGCCAUAAUAUGUAUUGGAGUACAUGGAAGAGUAGUCCUUGCCUUACAUCACUAUGACAUCCCAUAUGCGGCCAAUUUGAAGUCUCCAUGGGUAUAGUGAUUACCAAUAUUUACAACUUUUAAAAAUUCAUAACUUUCUUGUUGUUUGUCCAAUAUUGUUCAAACUUUCACCUAUCAAAUUGUCUGACUUUUCUUUUUCUUAUAAAAACAAGUUUUUAUUUGGGUUGGAUUCCCCUUUAAUUGCUCGAGUAAUGGAUGGGGGUAGGGGUACAACUUGUGUGAUUUUAAUGGAUAUUUCUAAGCCAUGGUGAUUUAAUGAAAGUGUGUGUAAGAAUGGUACAGUAAAGGUAUAUAAUAGUUUUAAAUUUUAUAUCUAAUUAUAUUUAUUACGAUAUAUAUAUAUUAGUAUGUCUACAGUUACUUUGAGAUCAAUCAGUUCAUGUAGACAAAAUAUUUAUGUAUGACACUAAUGGAAAUACCAUUUACUUGGAUUAUUAUGUGAUUAUGUUCAAAGGAAAAUAUAUUAAAAUGCAAUAAAUACAUGUACAUGUAGCUACUGAUGAUAAAUAGAUGAAAGCAUAUCAAUAGUUA